GACCUAAUAGCGAAAUUGGUAUCGCAUCCACUACCGUUUAAAAAGAAACGAAAAAUGCAGCAGUUUCUGUGGAAGUCCCUCGUUCGAAUCGAGGUUAGGUCU